rnacentral:rRNA from 1 species
AAUUUUGGACAAUGGGGGAAACCCUGAUCCAGCCAUCCCGCGUGUAUGAUGAAGGCCUUCGGAUUGUAAAGCACUUUAAGUUGGGAGGAAGGGCUUUAGGCUAAUACCCUGAAGUUUGGAAUUUACCAACAUAAUAAGCAUCGGCUAACUCGGUGCCAGCCGCCGCGGUAACACAGAGCGUGCAAGAGUUAAUCGGAAGUACUGUGUGUAAAGCGCGCGUAGGUGGUUCAGUAAGAUGGGUGUGAAAUCCCCGGGCUUAACCUGGGAACUGCUUUCAUAACUGAUGAGCUAGAGUACGGUAGAGGGUAGUGGAAUUUCCUGUGUAGCGGUGAAAUGCGUAGAUAUAGGACGGAACACCAGUGGCGAAGGCGACUACCUGGACUGAUACUGACACUGAGGUGCGAAAGCGUGGGGAGCAAACA